rnacentral:rRNA from 1 species
GAUGAACGCUGGCGGCGUGCUUAACACAUGCAAGUCGAACGGUGAACACGGAGCUUGCUCUGUGGGAUCAGUGGCGAACUGGUGAGUAACACGUGAGCAACCUGCCCCUGACUCUGGGAUAAGCGCUGGAAACGGCGUCUAAUACUGGAUAUGUGACGUGACCGCAUGGUCUGCGUUUGGAAAGAUUUUUCGGUUGGGGAUGGGCUCGCGGCCUAUCAGCUUGUUGGUGAGGUAAUGGCUCACCAAGGCGUCGACGGGUAGCCGGCCUGAGAGGGUGACCGGCCACACUGGGACUGAGACACGGCCCAGACUCCUACGGGAGGCAGCAGUGGGGAAUAUUGCACAAUGGGCGCAAGCCUGAUGCAGCAACGCCGCGUGAGGGAUGACGGCCUUCGGGUUGUAAACCUCUUUUAGCAGGGAAGAAGCGAAAGUGACGGUACCUGCAGAAAAAGCGCCGGCUAACUACGUG